rnacentral:rRNA from 1 species
UACAGAGGUCCCGAGCGUUGUUCGGAUUCACUGGGCGUAAAGGGUGCGUAGGUGGUUUAGAAAGUUUGAUGUGAAAGCUCAGGGCUUAACCCUGAAAUGGCAUUGAAUACUGCUGAGCUGGAGGUUUGGAGGGGGGACUGGAAUUCUUGGUGUAGCAGUGAAAUGCGUAGAUAUCAAGAGGAACACCAGUGGCGAAGGCGAGUCCCUGGACAACACCUGACACUGAGGCACGAAAGCUAGGGGAGCAAACAGG